rnacentral:rRNA from 2 species
GGAUCAUUGUCGAAAUCGAACGGAAGAACGACCCGCGAAUCGUCAUUGCGUAGUAGACAGAGCCCGUGAGCACCUAACGCUCACGGGUCUCGCGUCGCGUCGGCGCGGGUGUACUCGAGACCCGCGUCGUACCGGCGGACAAACAACGUCAGCACGGAUCGUGCCAAGGAGCUGCAUGGAGAGAAUCGUCGUCCCCCGCCUUUGAUAGUCGUCCUCGACGCGGGACGGGGGAUGUACGCAAUCUCUACUCAAAAGUCUAAACGACUCUCGGCAACGGAUAUCUCGGCUCUUGCAUCGAUGAAGAACGUAGCGAAAUGCGAUACUUGGUGUGAAUUGCAGAAUCCCGUGAACCAUCAAUUCUUUGAACGCAAGUUGCGCCCGAAGCCAUUCGGCCGAGGGCACGCCUGCCUGGGCGUCGUGAAUCCCCUUGCCCCUAGGCACCCGCACGAGCAUCGGCGGGGACAUAUCCUCGGGCGCAGAAUAUGGUCUCCCGUGGGAUCGGCAUGCACGGCAUGACGAGGUGCGGUUGGCCGAAAAUCGAGCAUGGCGGUGACGGGCACCACGGCGUUCGGUGGAUCGAAUGAGAUUGGCUGCGUCGUGGGCUCGGCAUGCGGCGGGCUCCGGACUUUGAAUAUCCCCGAGUGCGAUCCCAGGUCAGGCGGGGCUACCCGCUGAGUUUAAGCAUAUCAAUAAGCGGAGGAAAAGAAACUAACGAGGAUUCCCUUAGUAGCGGC